rnacentral:rRNA from 1 species
GAUGAACGCUGGCGGCGUGCCUAAUACAUGCAAGUCGAGCGAACGGACGAGAAGCUUGCUUCUCUGAUGUUAGCGGCGGACGGGUGAGUAACACGUGGAUAACCUACCUAUAAGACUGGGAUAACUUCGGGAAACCGGAGCUAAUACCGGAUAAUAUUUUGAACCGCAUGGUUCAAAAGUGAAAGACGGUCUUGCUGUCACUUAUAGAUGGAUCCGCGCUGCAUUAGCUAGUUGGUAAGGAACGGCUUACCAAGGCAACGAUGCAUAGCCGACCUGAGAGGGUGAUCGGCCACACUGGAACUGAGACACGGUCCAGACUCCUACGGGAGGCAGCAGUAGGGAAUCUUCCGCAAUGGGCGAAAGCCUGACGGAGCAACGCCGCGUGAGUGAUGAAGGUCUUCGGAUCGUAAAACUCUGUUAUUAGGGAAGAACAUAUGUGUAAGUAACAGUGCACAUCUUGACGGUACCUAAUCAGAAAGCCACGGCUAACUACGUG